GGGCCCGUAGCCUAGACAUCCGUUGGGGAAAUCAAGGUGUUUGCGAACACACCUCUAACACGGAUAAGGCGUCAGCCUUCGGAGCUGAAGAUCGCGGGUUCAAAUCCUGCCGGGCCCG
rnacentral:tRNA from 1 species